rnacentral:rRNA from 1 species
GACGAACGCUGGCGGCGUGCUUAACACAUGCAAGUCGAACGGAAAGGCCCUGCUUGCAGGGUGCUCGAGUGGCGAACGGGUGAGUAACACGUGGGUGAUCUGCCCCUUAUUUUGGGAUAAGCCUGGGAAACUGGGUCUAAUACUGGAUAGGACCAUGCUGUAGGUGGUGUGGUGGAAAGAUUAGUUUCGGUAAGGGAUGAGCUCGCGGCCUAUCAGCUUGUUGGUGGGGUAAUGGCCUACCAAGGCGUCGACGGGUAGCCGGCCUGAGAGGGUGGACGGCCACAUUGGGACUGAGAUACGGCCCAGACGCCUACGGGAGGCAGCAGAGGGGAAUAUUGCACAAUGGGCGCAAGCCUGAUGCAGCGACGCCGCGUGGGGGAUGACGGCCUUCGGGUUGUAAACUCCUUUCAGCCAUGACGAAGCCCUUGUGGUGACGGUAGUGGUAGAAGAAGCACCGGCUAACUACGUG